rnacentral:rRNA from 1 species
GACGAACGCUGGCGGCGUGCCUAACACAUGCAAGUCGAGCGGGGAUUUAAGUGGAAGUUCUUCGGAAUGGAGAUUUAAAUUCUAGCGGCGGACGGGUGAGUAACGCGUGAACAAUCUGUCCCGGACAGGGGGAUAACACUUGGAAACAGGUGCUAAUACCGCAUAAGACCACGGCCUCGCAUGGGGCUGAGGUAAAAGUAGCAAUCCGGUUCGGGGUGAGUUCGCGUCCGAUUAGCUAGUUGGUGAGGUAACGGCCCACCAAGGCGACGAUCGGUAGCCGGCCUGAGAGGGUGAACGGCCACAUUGGAACUGAGAGACGGUCCAAACUCCUACGGGAGGCAGCAGUGGGGAAUAUUGGGCAAUGGGCGAAAGCCUGACCCAGCAACGCCGCGUGAGGGAAGAAGGUUUUCGGAUUGUAAAGCUCUGUCCUACGGGACGAAGGAAGUGACGGUACCAUAGGAGGAAGCCCCGGCUAACUACGUG